rnacentral:rRNA from 1 species
UACAGAGGUCUCAAGCGUUGUUCGGAUUCAUUGGGCGUAAAGGGUGCGUAGGUGGCGCUGUAAGUCAGGUGUGAAAGCUCCGGGCUCAACCUGGGAAUUGCAUUCGAGACUGUGUAGCUAGGGUGCGGAAGAGGGAAGCGGAAUUUCCGGUGUAGCGGUGAAAUGCGUAGAUAUCGGAAGGAACAUCAGUGGCGAAAGCGGCUUCCUGGUCCAGCACCGACGUUCAGGCACGAAAGCGUGGGGAGCAAACAGG